rnacentral:rRNA from 1 species
UGAGGAAUAUUGCACAAUGGGCGAAAGCCUGAUGCAGCGACACCGCGUGAAGGAUGAAGGUCUUAGGAUUGUAAACUUCUGUUAAGUGGGAAAAAAGACUUGCUUCAAAUAAAAGCAAGGGAUGAUGGUACCACUAGAGAAAGCACCGGCUAACUUCGUGCCAGCAGCCGCGGUAAUACGAGGGGUGCAAACGUUAUUCGGAAUUACUGGGUGUAAAGGGUACGUAGACGGCAUAUUAAGUCAAUUGUUAAAUUCCCCAGCUUAACUGGGGGUAGGCGGUUGAAACUAAUAAGCUAGAGAGUGGAAGAGAGAAGUGGAAUUCUCGGAGUAGCGGUAAAAUGCGUAGAUCUCGAGAGGAACACCGAUGGCGAAGGCAGCUUCUUGG